rnacentral:lncRNA from 1 species
GGGAAUUUUAGGGGCAAUGAAAAUGUUCUUUCUUUGGCAAGAGUUACGUUAAAUGAGUGUAUACACCGUGAGAAGUGACUGAUUGGCACUCUGAGCCCUCCACGAGGUGUGAGUAGGUAGCUAGUUUAGGUCUGCUGAGCUGGAAGCCUCUGCAAGCUCCCACAUGCAUUCUAUCCUUUCUUAGGAUGCACCUGCUUCAUCGGAGACGUCGGGACAGAGGCUGUGAAAAUACGGAUAUUAACCUGCGUGUGGGACUUGUCCAGGUGCCAUGAAACUCCCAGGUGGCUUCACACCUGUAGAGGCCCCACCCAUACCUCACAAAAAGGGCAACAAUUAGGGGGAGCUUUUUUUUCUGCUGGGGACCACGGCGGGAGGUGCUGCACAGGUGUCUUCUCUCUCCCCCCUUCCAUACCUCCUCCCUUCAGGCAACCCUGUGUCCCACUCAUGAGUAUUUCUCCGUGUGGGGCAACCCACGCUCUCGUGUAUAUGUGUGUCCACUUUCUCAUUUUUUGGACAAAUUUUGUUAUCACUGUGCACCUUAUACAUGUCUGCACUUAGAAUGCUGGUCUUUGUGAAAGGCAAGGAGCUGAGAAAAAAAAACACACUCACGCCCACAUCAGUCUGAGUGUUCUUUCUGCACACACAUUGCAGCUCAAUUUAGAAACAGCUUGCCCCAUGUGUGGGCCACAGCUUUCUUAAAUGCUUUUUUUGUUUUCCUAAGUUUUUAAAUUAAUGAGGGGACAGCAGCCGCUCUCUGUAGGUCGCAGCCCACUCUCCUGCUGCAGAUGCAUUGCACAGAGCGUCCUGAGCACCUACCCUGGCUGAACCUGACUUCCCAGGCUGGACGGGAUUACAAUCCCAGCCCUCUGACUGUCAGCUGCUGCUCGGCUCCUCCCCAGAUUGUGCAUAGGAGACUCCACACUGGCACAACUCGUCUACCUGAGACAAGAACUGAGAUUGCCUUCACCAUUCCUGCAGCAGCAGUGGCCGGAGGCGCAGCUGGCUAAACGGGUAAGAAGGGUUUUGGUGUGGUGCUCCGGAGCCAGAGUUGCACAGAAAGGUGGCUGUACUGAAUGCUACUGAGUUGCAUUGUUAGAAAUGACUGACAACUAACAUGGUGAACUUUAGGCUGUGCACAUUAUAACACAGUAAACAAAGAAGCCAAAAACUCAAGCUGCAAUCCCAGU